rnacentral:pre_miRNA from 1 species
UUACACACCUGUCGUAUACGUCGGUUUGGUUUUUUUCUCUUUAAAGGUGGUUAUGUUAUUUUGUUGGGAUUAAUCCACCUUUAAAGUGAAAAAAACCAAACCGACGUAUACGACAGGUGUGUAAAAU